rnacentral:rRNA from 1 species
UGGAGAGUUUGAUCCUGGCUCAGAUUGAACGCUGGCGGCAGGCUUAACACAUGCAAGUCGAGCGGGGAARGGUAGCUUGCUACCUGACCUAGCGGCGGACGGGUGAGUAAUGCUUAGGAAUCUGCCUAUUAGUGGGGGACAACAUUCCGAAAGGAAUGCUAAUACCGCAUACGCCCUACGGGGGAAAGCAGGGGAUCUUCGGACCUUGCGCUAAUAGAUGAGCCUAAGUCAGAUUAGCUAGUUGGUGGGGUAAAGGCCUACCAAGGCGACGAUCUGUAGCGGGUCUGAGAGGAUGAUCCGCCACACUGGGACUGAGACACGGCCCAGACUCCUACGGGAGGCAGCAGUGGGGAAUAUUGGACAAUGGGCGAAAGCCUGAUCCAGCCAUGCCGCGUGUGUGAAGAAGGCCUUUUGGUUGUAAAGCACUUUAAGCGAGGAGGAGGCUACUKGGAUUAAUACUCUDGGAUAGUGGACGUUACUCGCAGAAUAAGCACCGGCUAACUCUGUGCCAGCAGCCGCGGUA